ACGUGGCACAGUCUCAAGUGUCACUACUCAUCCGUUAUCCAAAACUUACGCUCACUACCCAACUACAUAGACAUUCUCUUAAUAUCCCAUAAGUAGUUAUUUAAUGUGCUCUUCCAUGACAAGCACAUUCUCUCACAAUUGAACUUCAUACCCAAUAAACCGUUCUUAAACAUAUUCUGUCAUGAUAAGCACGUUUUCUCAUAAUUGAACGUAUUUUCUCAACUGCUCCUAAGAAAGUACUUUUGUUCAAUAUAGAACUUUAGUGGUUGGGGGCAAUAAAACAAAAAUCAUAAACUUGGCAGAGACUAUCAUCAAAACUCUCCGAAAUAUUCUCUUUACUCAGCCCUUUCCAUCUACCGUGCUCCGUUGCUUUCUCCACCUUUUCUUAUUCCUCACCGCCUACCACCAAAGCACUCUAAUCUUUCUUUUUGCCGCCUCUAGUGCAUUCCGUUUUGCUUAUUACAACAUGCCCUCUCUCCCUACCAGAAGAAUCCUCUACAACAAGUAUUGUUAGAAUUGAAGAAUUGUUAAUAAACAAAAAUUGUGCUAUGUUCUCCUUUUGAAGUGAGUGCCAUAUUUGUUAAUAUUAUCCCCUUGAUUCAUCUCAUUAAUUGAAUAACCUUUCUCCUUAUUUAAUCACGUGCUACAUAUGAAUAUCAAUAUAUUAUGUGAAAAUGUCAUAUGCAUCACUUGAGGUACGAUUUUUAACUUAUAAUACCCACAUACAUUCAGCUAGUUUUAAUUAAUCCCUUAAAUCUUUUUGUUGUUCUUUCUCAGUGUUAUAUGCUCGGUUGAUCUUUUUUUCCUUUAGGAGCCAAAUUGUGCUUCUUUGGUUGCUGAAAAACUGAUAGUUUUAACCAGUCUGAUCACUAAUGGAAGAAGAAAAAGUUAAUAAGCAGCUACUAUAGACAAUGCUUAUGGCAAGAUAUUCAGAGUUAACGAACUGUAAAAUUGUGUGGUGCUCAAUGCUCACUUUGGUGCAUUAGCUCCAGGUUUCUGAUGUUGUAAUCCAUUCAACUGAAUCAAUUGCUUUGUCUUUGUGUGUAUGUUACUUAUCCAUUAAUUGCCUGCAUUUUUCAUGAUUUUUCAUGUUUUCUACUGUCACUGAACAUCAGCUGAGAUUGCAUACACUUACUAUUGUUUUUGAAGGCUGUUGGCUUCGAGGGGGAUGUUCGCAAGCAGGAAGAUGCAAGAAGAGUGGUUGAAUCAACUUUCAAGCAUUUUGGCCACAUUGACAUUCUUGUGAAUGCUGCUGCUGGCAAUUUUCUUGUGUCAGCUGAGGAUUUGUCCCCUAAUGGGUUUCGAACAGGUACUUGGAGCCUUUCCAACAGGGUUUCUGAUGUAUACAGGGUCAUUUGAUGAGAGCAAUUUGUAGAUUUAGCUCAAUGAUCUUAGGCCUUAUCUACAAUGCCUUUUGAAGCUCUAGCAAAUUUUUAUCUUUUCCUGUACUUGUUUAAAAUUUUGUUCUUAACUUCCUCAUAGAGUUAUUAAGCGAAAAAAUAUCCUGUUUUUCCCUUUUUAUUUUUUUUGAAAAACCCCACCUCAAAAGUUAUUAGCAACUACUUUCUUAUGAUUAGUAACUAGGCCUUCUUUAUAUAAACGUUUUAGCCAAAGCUUAUUCUGACCUACACCUGCAGUUAUGGAUAUUGAUUCUGUUGGCACAUUUACCAUGUGCCAUGAAGCACUUAAGUAUCUCAAAAAAGGAGGACAUGGAAGGAACUCAUCUGGGGGGGGAGUGAUUUUGAACAUUAGUGCUACUUUGCAUUAUACAGCUGCUUGGUAUCAAAUACAUGUCUCUGCAGCCAAGGUUUGUUGUAUAAAAUUCUUCCUGUGAGGAAUAUUUUACUCUUGACUUAUACUUAUUUGCAGUGUUUUCUUUCUGUUAGGCAGCUGUUGAUAGCAUUACUAGAAACUUAGCACUUGAGUGGGGAACUGACUAUGAUAUUCGAGUAAAUGGUAUUGCCCCAGGCCCUAUUGGUGAUACUCCUGGCAUAAGUAAACUUGCACCAGAGGAGAUUAAUAGCAAAGCUCGAGAUUACAUGCCAUUGUAUAAAUUAGGGGACAAAUGGGAUAUCGCUAUGGCUGCUCUCUAUCUUUUCUCAGAUGCUGGUGAGUAACCUUGAUCCCUGUUCUAGUUAUCUCGCCAUUACCAAUAUUUGUCUAUAUAUUAAAGAUUCAAGAAUCUAAUCUUAAACUCACUGAUCAAUACAACAGUAUGAUGUGUGAAUGUUAUCUUUUUCUUGUUUUCUGCAUGUUCAUAUCCAAAUCUCAGUCCUGAAUUUUCAGAGCCAUCGUAAUCCAUCUUUUUUUUGUCCUUAUAUUAAUCAAUUACCAUCAUAUGAAGGUUUAAUUUUCAUUUUCACUAUUAGCUUCAAUACAUCUGAGCUCAACAUAUCCAACGCGCUUGAUCUGGCUGUACAGUCUUUAGAUUACAAGAAAUACGCCCAUGUUGUCUGAUAUAUUCUGCUAUAUGCAUGUGCAUCUGAUGUGUUUCACCUUCUCAUGGAGUUGGCACUUAUUUUAAAUGGAAGUAUUUCCUUUCCCUCCCCUCAUUUGAUUCGUAUGAUCAUGGAUCCAAAAUAAAAUAAAGGAUGAAAAAAGUUCAUGGUGUUGGCACUUAGUCCAGGGAAUGAUAGUUGGCAGAGUAGCAUGCAUUUUCUCUUCUUGCCAUUGUUUUUCCAGCAUUAAUAAUUUUCUGAGAAAGUUUUAAGCUCUUAAUCCGUGUGUAUGCAAAUUUUAAGGUAAAUAUGUCAAUGGAACUACACUUAUAGUCGAUGGUGGACAUUGGCUGAGCCGGGCUCGCCAUAUACCGAAAGAGGCAGUCAAGCAGCUGUCUCGGGCAGUCGAAAAGAGAUCUAGAGAUAAACCAGUUGGAGUUCCAACCAGCAAGCUGUAAACCAAGCUGAUGGAGUGAUCAUCUACAUGCUUCAACAUAUGUGUAUAGCUAAAACUAUUGUUUUCAUAUAUGAACAUUUCAGGGGAGGGCUUUCAUGCCUCGUUACAAGCCAUCAGUUGAUUGAAUAAACCUAGAAGCUACUUUACCAAGCUAUUGAAUUAAGUCUUCUCAAGCUUUUCAUGACAUGCAGGAAAAAGCUAGUUCUUUUCAAAUCAAGAGGGAUUGUAGACAUUUUAUUUUGUUUGGGGUGUUUUUUUAUUUUUUUACAACUUGUAAUUAAAAUUUUUUAUUUUUUUAUUUUGAUCAUAUAAUUGAAAAAUAUAAAACAAUAGAAAAUACAAAAGAAAAUAUAUAGAAAAUUAAAAAUAUGAAGAAGUAAAAAUAAUAGAGAAUUGAAAAAAUACAAAAGAAUGGGAAAAUAUACAAACAAUAAUAAUAAAAAAGAAAAGAGAAUAGAGGCAUGGUUUGAUAACCUUUUUCAAAAUUCGUCCAAAUCUUAAGUUGAUAAUUUUUUAUCUAAACACAAUUUAUCUCUUAAUUUGGAGUUAACGCUGUCAUAACGUAUGAGUUUUAAAACACAAUUGUUAAAAGUAAAAGAAGUCAUUAUAUUUAAAAGUGAUUAAUCACUUAAUUGAAUUUAAUUUUCUUAAUGAAGUCUUACUUUUGACUUAGGUUCUUUAAAAAAAUAGAUUUCAAUUUACGAAAUAGAUUAAGUUUGAAAAUAUAAUUACGUGGAAGUACAAUUACGUUUGAGGAAAUGAUUAACACCUUCACAAGGUCCAUUUAAGAUGAUACUUAUUUAAUUAUCUAUUUUUUUUAGUCUUAAUAAAUGAAUUUUAUUAUAGUAUCUUAAUUUAUUUUCCUUAACUAUUUCUCCAAUUAUCAUUUUAAAACAAAUAAAAUAUCCUUUAAUAUUGAAAAUUCAACCAAAAUUCCCCAAACCUUUUGAUAAAAUUUAAAAAGAUUUUCUGACCUAAAAAUUUUUCAAGAAAAGUAUCCAUUAUAACAGUCUCAAAAUUCUAUCAUUGAAAGAUUUUUAUUUAUUUUAUAUUAAACAUUCAUAUAUGUACAAUUUAAAUUCUUUAUUUACCUAUUUUCAUAUAUAUAAUAAUUAUUUAUAAAUAAAUUUUUUUCUAAAAAUAUUUAUAAGAUUACCUCCCAAUCUUUAUGGUAAGGUCUCAUAAUUAUUUUUACUCUAAAAAAUUUUAAAAAAAUUACCCCUUGUAACUUCCCUUAAAAAUUUCAUUCUAAAAAUUUAUUUAAAUAAUUAUGAAUCGUUAUUAUUAUUAUUAUUAUUAUUAUUUGAUUUUAUAGUUUUAUUUUAUCAAUUAUGAUUUGAAGAACUUUAUCCUAACCUAAUUACUACCUAAAAAAUUAUUUUUAUUAUAUUUUAUGCAUUUUCACUAAAACCAAAAAUAAAAUAAAUAAAGAAAACAUGACAUGAACAAAUAAAACAAGUAUCAUAAGGAUUCAAGCCCAUACUUAGUGGGUGGGCUAAUAAAUAUAACUAACAGGCCUACCCAAGACUAGCCCACAGUAGUAAAACCCAAGACCGAACAAUCUGCUUCAAUCAAAACGAUGCCAAACUAGUUAUCUAUUUAAGUUCCUCUUCUCCCUCUCAAACAACAUGAUUUCUUCUGAUUAUAAAAAUCCUUUUUCUGAAACCUUAGCUCACUUCUUUUCCCUUUGUUUUUUCUUCACACCGCCAUUCUCCCUCUCUCUUUAGAGCUUCUUUGAUUCCUCCUGCAACCGCCUUGUUCUAUGUCUCCGACCACCGUUUGUUUGUACCCAAACCUCACCAAACUUGACCCACGAAAGCUCCUUAAGCCGUUUUCCUUUUAAUUGGAAUCAUUUUUAAAAAUGUAUACGAUAUUCCUGGAUUAAACCCCAAAAAUUUCAAAACCCAAGAAACCCAAGAACACUCUUUUUGAUGAUUUCUCUUGUGUGAUUUUUUUUCUUUUAACUUGCCUCCCUAAUUGCUGCGUUUUUUGGGGGUUUAUAUAGGUGUUUUCUUCUAAUCUUGAUUUACUUGUAAAAUUUUUAUUUUAUUUGAUUUUGUGGGAAUAUUUCUUGGUUUAAAAUAUUUAUGUUUGUGGAAGGAUUUUAGAGGUUCCAUUGGCCUUUUCUCUUUUUGUGAUUGAUCCUUUUUCCUUUUAAUCUUCUUUUAUUUUCUUUUGUUCUUUCCAAGUUUUUUUUAUUUUGAUUUACUUUCACUUUUUGUUUUGUUUGAUCUUUAUUUGUGAUGUUUGUUUCAUUUUUUGUAAUUACUUUAAUGGAUUUUGACUUAUUUAAGUUAUGAACCCAUUUGGGUUAUGGGUUAUGAAUCCAUUAAGAUUAUAAGCCCAUCAUUCCUUAGGUCCAAAAACCAAGUCAAACUAAAAUUAAAAAUAAAGUGAAAUGAAAUGAAAUUAAACUCAUUUAAAGUUAAAUAAUAAAUGAGAUUAAGUCUUGGACAAAUAUGACGUCUACAAUUAGUCCUCUUUGGAAUAAGGAAUUAUGCAAAAAUAUAUAAACAACUAAUUUUUGCUCAAAAUAGUUAUAAAAGAACUCAAAACUCCUUGACCAAGGCUCCACAACUUAAAAAGAAAUUAGAAUUCCUCCUUUAAGACUUUAAAACUUUUUACAACUCCUCUACCGAGGCUCCAAAACUUUUAAAUCUCCUCCACCAAUGCGUCAAAUUUAAAAAUGAAAUAAAAAACUCAACCAUCAAGGCUUUAAACUUUAAAAGAAAAUGAGAAUCCUUCCACCGGAUCUUUAAAACUUUUUACAACUCUUCCACCAAGACUCCAAAACUUUUUAAUCUUUUCCAUCGAGGCUCUAAAUUCCUUCACCAAGGUUUCAAUAUCUUAAGAAUUCUUUCAUUGAGGUUUCAAUAUCUUAAGACUUCCUCCAUCAAGGUUCCAAUAUCUUAAGAAUUUUUCUGCCAAGAUUCCAAUAUCUUAAGAAUUCCUCCACCAAGCCUUCAAAUUCCUCCAUCGAGGCUUCAAUAUCAUAUGAAUUCCUCAACCGAGGCUUCAAUAUCUUAAGAAUUCCUCCACUCAGGCUCUAAUAUCUUAAAAAUUUCUCUACUAAGUUUCCAAAAUCUUAAGAAUUCUUCCACUGAGGUUCCAAUAUCUUAAAAAUUCCUGCACUAAGGUUCCAAACUUUAGAUAAAGCUCCUCCACCAAGGCUUCAAAUCUUAAAAAAGGAAAUAUCAUUUCCUAAAUGUGUUAGUUCAAGAAGCUUAAGAUAAAGAAACCAAGAAAAGAGUGAAUUGGUAAUUUAAAAAAAUUGAUUUUUCUUGAAAACAGAAGUAAAGAUGAAAACUUUGAAAGCACAACUUAAAAACCCAAGUAUGAAAGCUUAAAAGCUGAAGAAUAAAGCAAGUAAUGAGUAUAAAAGAGAAGAGAAAAACUCAAUCAUGAUUUUAUAGAGGUUGGAUCCUUAAAGCUUACGUCUUUUCCCUUAAUAGUACAAGAAGUUUGAAUUCGUUAUCAACUGCCCUUUUCAACCAGAUUCAAGCAUAACCUUUACAAGUAACUACUUUUUAAGGAUUAAUCACUAUAAUAUCUCGUACUUUGAUAUGGUGACUAAUAAAGCUUAUUGGAUGUCAAUUGAGGUUAAUUAUAAUGUUUAAAAGUGAUGAAAGAUGAAAGAAACAAUUGGGAUAAAAAAUUUCGCACGCGAGAAAAUAAUAAUAAAAUAAUAAUAUUUUAUCGAGAAAAAAUUUAUGAGAUAAAAAGUGAUUCGAAAGUGAAUUGAGGCAUAAUAAGGUAUUUUGGAUACCAAGGAGACGAGAAAAUUUUUGGAAUAAAAAAAUAUUUUAUGAAUAAAAUAAUACUAAAAUAUUAAUAUUUUAUUCAGUGUCAAAAUUUUCCAUGAAUGAGGAGUAUAUGAUCAGUCUAAGUGGGGGAGAAAAAGAAUGAGAAAAUUUUGGAGAAAAAAAUGAUGUUAAUGGGGCCGCGUGUCUUUAUUAAGUAAAGAUAGCGUGGGUAAAUAAAUAUUUUAAAUAUUACGGGGACAUCGCGUUGGAGUACAAACUUCAUACUUUGUUUGUACAUGUGUAGAAGAAGAUAAUAAAAGGAAGUUGGAGUAAAAUGAGUGUUGGGAGGACUAAAUUAAAAUGGAAAGAAACAAAAAGGGCAAAACGAUAAUUUUAUGUGAAAUUUGGUCAAAGCUUCCAAAGGAAGCUUUGACCCUGAUUUUUUUCAGCCCAAAACCGUUCUUAUCUCCUUCAGCAAGAUAUUUCUUCUUAAUUCUUGAAGCUUCCAACGCCAUUCUCUCAUUCUCCCAUGGAAAGUUAAUUUUCUUUCAUUUUCUUUCCAUUUCCUUUAUCUUCUUGCUUCUUUCUUCUCCCAACUUCUUAUGCACCAAAGUUACAACUUCUUAUGCACCAAAGUUACAACUUCUAAGCCCAAUUUCCAGCACAUACAAACCCUAGGAGAAGAAGAAAGAAGGAGAGAAAGGAAGAAAAAGCUUGGUUUUGGUGAUUCAAGUAAGGAACGAUAAGAAUUCUUGUUUUUGGCUUGAGUAGUUUUUGAAAAUGAGUUAGUGACUUAGAGAAAUGUCUUGUGGCAGCAAAGAUUGGCUUGAUUGGAGAAAAAUUGGUAACAUGUAAGCCAAUAAACCCAUGGGUACAUGAAUGACUCAAAAUGGAAAAGGAAAACAGUAAGCUUAACACUAUGUUUUAAAGCCUAUGGUUAGUUGAAUAUUGUGAGGCAUUAUGGUUGUUGAAAGGAUUUAUUUGCCUAAGCUAGUUGAAAAUUAUUAAGAUUGUUUGACAUGUUGUUUGAAAGAAAUGAAAAAGGAAUAUUGUGGAUGGAGGAUUGAGAAACAAAGUAUUGAAAGUAAGAUAGAUAACGAUGUAUGUAAACUAGGAAAUAAUUGAGUGAAAGUAAGAAUGAUUGUGUCACGACCCGGUACUCCCCUCGAGCCCGUGACAAC
rnacentral:lncRNA from 1 species